UGCUGAGUUAAGGCACUGAGAGGAGACUUUGGACACCAAUUCUGAAAGUUGAACUUUGGCAGCUUCGAGUCCUACUAUUCCCAAAUUCUGUCUUCCAAGAGUUUCUUGAGCUUUCUCUAGCACUGAUUGCAGAAAGUCUCUCUCCAGUGGCUGCACCUGCAUUUGUUGCUGGUAUGAUUCUUGCUCAAUCUAUACUUCUGGCGACACAAAAGGAAAAUAUCAGUAAUUGCAACAGACAAGGUAAGAUGACAAAUUUAUUAUGGGUUUAUUAAUAUUAUAUAUGACAAUUUUUCUUCAAAUAACAAUUUACCAUAUCUCUAUGAUGGAUCGGACAAGAAAAAAUUGAAAACAUAAGAUAAAUAACUAAUCAGAUGUAUACGGGAUAUCCAUUACAAGGUAUAA